rnacentral:lncRNA from 1 species
CUCUGGAAUAUAAUCUGUGAUUUUAUAGUGAUAUUAAUGUAAAUGGUAGCGUUGUAAUGAACAUAAACGCCAGGAAGUUUCACAUAUUAAUGCUGCAACGACCAACAUACUAUCUACGGGAUUCAAAACUGAAUAUUGUUGUGAUUAAAUGACCGGGUAUGAUGCUAGCUACUAUAGUCGCUAGAAGUCAUAUUUGAAUAGACUGAAUAGUAUUAAAGCUUACCUUGAUUCUCUUAUUUCGGUAUAUUUUAUUCAAUAAAUUGCUACCACCAAGAGCGAAGUUUGUAUUGGAACAAGAUUAAUAAGUUUGCUUGGCAAUGUAGACAUUUAUAGUCAUUAGAUUUGUUUCAUGUUGCCAAGCAUGUAAGCAAUACAGCUAUCGUGAAUGUAUUUUCACAGUAUUUAAAAUAUGCAUAAUGAUGUCACUUUAUUACAUAAUUACCUGGGUAUCUUAUUGCACCACAAUUGCGAAAUGACGUACCGGUUUCGAGAACAUGUGCAGUGC